GACGAACGCUGGCGGCGUGCUUGAUACAUGCAAGUCGAACGGACUGGCAGCUCGUCACUGGUCGCUCGUCGCUCGUGGAAACGGAGUACGAACAAACGUAAGACCAGCCCACGAGAAAAUUGGAGUCGAUGUUUUCGGUCUCCGAGCGACGAGAAACGAGUGACGAGCUGCGAGUUAGUGGCGGACGGGUGAGUAACGCGUGGGUAAUCUGCCCUCAGGUCCGGGACAACGGUGCGAAAGCGCCGCUAAGACCGGAUGAACUUGCGGGGUGGCAUCAUCUUGCAAGCAAAGGAGACGCCUGAGGAUGAGCCCGCGUCCCAUUAGCUAGUUGGCGGGGUAACGGCCCACCAAGGCGACGAUGGGUAGCCGGACUGAGAGGUUGGCCGGCCACACUGGGACUGAGACACGGCCCAGACUCCUACGGGAGGCAGCAGUAGGGAAUUUUCGGCAAUGGGGGGAACCCUGACCGAGCGACGCCGCGUGAGGGACGAAGGCCUUCGGGUUGUAAACCUCUGUCUAGGGGGACGAUAAUGACGGUACCCCUGGAGGAAGCCACGGCUAACUACGUGCCAGCAGCCGCGGUAAGACGUAGGUGGCGAGCGUUGUCCGGAAUUACUGGGCGUAAAGGGCGUGUAGGCGGCCUUUCAAGUCAGGCGUGAAAUUCCUGGGCUCAACCCAGGGACUGCGUUUGAGACUGAGGGGCUUGAGGACAGGAGAG
rnacentral:rRNA from 1 species